rnacentral:ncRNA from 1 species
CAGAGUAGGCGUCGGAGCGUACAGUGUCUGGGGGACGGGGAGUUGUCUUCAGAACGAAUGGGAAACCUGCGAUUCCGGUGCCGCAUCCCGCUGU